rnacentral:lncRNA from 10 species
ACGGGAUGCUGGGAUGAGAUCCCAGGGUGAGGGGCCAGGCUAAGGUUUGAGUCCGGGACCCUAAGAAGGCCUUUCCUUCCAGCUGGUCCCUGUUGCAGUCCCGGUCACCUUUAGGACUAGAGGGACCUUCCUGAAGCUCAGAACCAACCCUGUCCCUCCCCUGCUCGGAACCUGCUGUGGCUCCCCAGUGCCCCUGAGGAAGCCCAGCUCCUCUGUCAGCCACACGCCUGGGCCGACCCGGCCGUGGGGCUCCAGCCAGUUGUGCUCAUGAGCGGACUGUGCCUUCUCCCUCUGAUCCAGCCUUUGCCCUCGCUGUCCCCUUUUCUGUGUCGUCACCAGCCCACUUCCCGUGACUCCUCUAAGCCCAGCUUAGAGAUGGCCAUAGGUUGGUGGCUGUCAUCCCAACACUGAGCCCCAGCAGCUGAGGGCCAGGCUGAGUCCCUGGUGCCCACAGGCUGCCCUGGGGGGAGACUGCAUGGGGCUGAGCCCUGCCAGGACCCCGAGGAGAGGUCCAGGCCCUUGGGCUUCUGCCAGGCCCUGC